rnacentral:lncRNA from 1 species
AGUCUCUUUAAUUACAUUUGAUAAAAUUUUAUAAUUUUCUUUUUAAAGAUCAUGCACCUCAUUUGUUAGAUUUAUUCCUAGGUACCUUAUUUUUAUGCUAUUACAAGUUAUAUAAAAGUGAUCUUUUACAAAUUAUAUAUUUUCGCUAUUUGUUGCAGUGUUUAGAAUACUACCAAUUUUUGCAUAUUGAUCUCAAAGCCAUAGCAGAAUAUCAUACUACCUUAUCAUAAUAGCAGACAUUCAUAUAACUUACUAUGUGUCAGGCACUGUUCUAGGCAUUUUACAUGGAUGACAUGCAUUCAAUCUCACAAUGACCCAGUGAGGGAGAUCUUAUUAUUAUAAUUAUUUAUAGUGAGGAAACUGAAGUCCAAAGAAGUGCAGAGAACUUAAGUAGAUUCCAUCAUAAGUGGUGAAGCCAGGAUUCAAACUCAUUCUCCAGCAUCCAGGGCUAUACUCGUGGUACUGCAUUUACUUCUUACUCUUGGUAAGCCCUGUUAUUAAUUCCGAUAAUAUGCCUGUCUAUUCUCAGGUUUUCCAUGCAAACAACGAUAAUAAAUACCUUAAAAUCAGCUAGCAAACACACAAAUGGUUAAUGCCAUAGUAAAGUGUGUAGGAUGUGUGUGUGUGUGUGUGCAGAGUGUGUAUGUAUGGGGUGUGUAUGUGUGAGGUAUGUGGAGUGUGUGUGUGUGUAGAGAGUGUGUGGAGGGUGUAUGUAUGGGGUGUGGGAGGGUGUAUGCAUGUAUUGUGUGUAUGUGUGUGUGAUUUGUAUGUGUGAAUGUGUUUUUGUGUGUAGUGUGUGUGUGGAUGUUGUUUGGGAGUGUGUGUGUGGAUGUGAAUGUUUAGGUUCUGUGUGUGUGUGUUUGCGGAGUGUGUGGAGUGUGUAACAUGGUGUGUGUAUAUGUUUGGGGUGUGUGUGUAGAUAUGUGUGUGUGAGUGUGUGUGUUAUGGAGUGUGUGUAUAUGUAUGUUUGGGUGUGUGUGGGGUGUGUGUAUAGUGUGUGGGAGGUGUGAGUGCAUAUUGAGUGUGUGUAUGUGUAUGUUUGGGUGUGUGUGGAGUGUGUGUGCGCGUGUGUGUGUAUGUUUGGGGUAUGUGUGUGUAGCGUGUCUGUGUGUGUGUUUGGAUGGGGAACGUUAUAAAGAGCACCAUUCUCAAAGCGCAGGGAAUUCGCGAGCCCUGGGGAUCGCUGGUCUACUUCCUAAGCAGCAAGGAAUGUUAUGCAUUUCAGCGCUUGCUAAGUCAGUGCGUCCUCAGAGAGGGCUUGCAGGCUCCAGGGAGGCCUGCAUAAGGAGUGAGGCCUGGGCCAAGCCCAACAGAAAGUGUCAAAUAACAGGCCUGCCCCUUCCCCACCCUCCACCCCCAGAUUUGGGCUGAAUCAAAGGGCCAUUCAAGCCCCUCCCUUUCACAGGCCGAGGCCAUCAGCGGGCCAUCCCCUGAGGCUGAAACGCAGCAAUCCCACGGGCUUCUGCUCCAAACAGGCUUGUAUUUGAAACCACAAUAUACUUGGCUCUAGUUUUACACACAUUACUUUCCUGGUGCUAAAAAAAAAAAAAAAAAAAAAGGAAUUACAAGAAUGAAAGGGAGAGUUCUUGGGAGAUAGGGAAUUCUUUUUCCAGUCUAGUGAAUGCGGUUAAUAAGUGGAAAAAUAAAACUACUCUCCGUGAAGGGUCUUUGGAAGGGUUACCAGGACACGACAAUUAAAAACAAAUUAAAAGGCUGUAUCAUUCACUCAGCCUCAGUCGCCUCCCACAGUCCUGAGGGAAAUGAAUCUGCUUCAGUGCAUUGGAGGGGUAACCGCUCUUCCUGAAUGGUGUCGGGUAGGAGGAGGGAUACCUGUGUAUGUUCCUCUGUGGCGUCCCAAAUGCUCCUUCAUGAAUUGAGGAAUUGACUGGACAGUCAUUCCCCUAGACCUCACUACAAAUUAGACUUUUGUUCACCUGUUUCAAACGAAUGUUUUUUAGUGCUUUGCAUAGUGUGAAAAACAAUAACAAACCCCAGGGUUUGGGUCAUCUUGGAUGAGUCACUUGAAUCUCUGUGGCUCUCAGUUUCCUCUCUGUAAAAUGAAAGUGUAAACUAGAUCAGUGGUUUUCAAACAGUACUCUCCUGAGUCCUCCCUGAAGCUAGAACAACUAGGAGGAAGAGAAAUGGAAGAAUUAACUGAGCAAUUUAGCCCGUUUGCGUCUGUCGUCUUUGACUUCAGACCAUUUUCAAUACAAUCUGGUUGAGCAGUUAAUUCUAACAAACCUGGUUCUGGGAUUUGCUAAUCUCUCAACAAUUCCAGGUGACUCCCAAAGCAGGAGCCACAGUCUCUGCACGGGCUUGACCCAUAUUGUCAUGUUUUGGAAGGUGUGGAAGAUUCCUGCCAACAUCAUAGCAUCAUGUUAUUCUCAAGGAGACUAAGGAAGACUUAAAACAACCCAUGUGGGUGCAGAAGGUGGCCCCGUGGCCUGUGUUGAAGUGGGAUCUCACAGAUCCACAUUGUAUUUUCACAAAUACAUGUGAGAUUUUCCACGAGAUUCUGCAAGAAUUUCCCUGUGAGUCCUUUCUUGAGUUCCAAAGUUGGGUAAUGAUGAAACAGAAGAGUUCCCUGACCCCUCUCACAGGACGUGAAACAAGGGUGUGGCUUGUCUGUUAGAUUGCUGACACCACUCAAACCCCUUACAGGAUGGAAAGCAUGCAGAUGGGCAGGUGCAGGAGUCCAAGUGGGCACGUGUUACAAUGUGCUCUUUUAGCCGUCUGCGAAUGGCUUGAGUGUUAGCGAGCAAGGGCAGAGGGCCAGUGUGACAGCUUUAUGUAUCCCAAGCUCUUGUCCAGCAUCCUGGAAGAACUGGGUCACACAUGCACUUGAAGGAUAAAUGUGGGGGUCUUACUGAAUGGCGGAGGUGGCUCUCAGCAGGAUGGAUGGAGAACCUGAAGGGAGGACGGAGUAGGAAGAUGGGCUUCUCCUGGAGUUUGGCCUUCCGGCAGCUGAACCGCCCCGGGCUAAACUCUUAGUGUUGAGACAUUCCUCCUCUUCUCUCUUUCUGCCGCAGCAUUUUGACAUUCCUCUGCUUGUCUCCUUGUCUGCCCAUCUGCUUCUGGAACCUGGGGGUUUGGGGUUUAUAUGGGUACAGGAUAGGGGGGCAUGGCGGGCCAAAAGGCAAAUUUUGCAUUCAAAAACAGAAAUGCCUGUUUCCAUUUAGGGCCGAGGGUCUCUGGACUUCAGGGUGGGGCCUUUGCCAGGGAACCACCCUCUUCUACCCAGUAUUUCCCUGUCUCCUAUCCAUAUCAAUGAGGCUUUUCCUGUUUUCUAAAAUGCUUCAGUUAUUCACUAGUCUAGAAGUUAAAAUCAUUAGAGUUGUUGCUUGUUAACCUACUCUAUGGAUCCUCUCUCUUGUCUUGAGAUCAGAAACCAUGGCUUUUCACUAUGAAUCCCCAGACCUGGCAAAGUCCUUGCCCUACAGAGGUGACUGUUUUCCAAAAAUAGAAACAGCAGUAUUUCCAGUUUCACAUGUUUUUCCACAAACUUUCCAUUUCCCAUCAUGAGGCAGAAUCUAUUCGUCUUCUCCAGAGACUCAGGAUUGGGGAAGGGCUGACUCCGUGACUGUCUUGAUAAUUGGAAUGCUACAGAUUGCUUGACUUCCAAGGCUAUGUUAUAAAAAGCAAUUAGGCUUCUGCCUGCAGCUCUCUCCCUAGGGAUGUUCACCCUUGAAACCAGCCACUGGGUUAUGAGGAAGCCUCAACUAGCUCAUGUGGAGGGUGAAAGAUGCCCCCAGCCAACAGCCAGCUUCACCCACCAGGAUAGAUGAGUGAAUUAAUGAGCCUUCAGUUGAUCCCAUCCUCCAGUUCUCAAGUCUUCCAGCUGAAUCCUCAGACAUUGCAGAGCAGAGACGGGGUAUCCUUGGUGUGCCAUGGCCAAGUCUUAACCCACACAGUUGAGUCU